UACGAAGGGGGCUAGCGUUGUUCGGAAUCACUGGGCGUAAAGAGCUCGUAGGCGGCUUGUCGCGUCGACCGUGAAAACUUGGGGCUCAACCCCAAGCCUGCGGUCGAUACGGGCAGGCUAGAGUUCGGUAGGGGAGACUGGAAUUCCUGGUGUAGCGGUGAAAUGCGCAGAUAUCAGGAGGAACACCGAUGGCGAAGGCAGUGGGCUGGGCCGGCACUGACGCUGAGGAGCGAAAGCGUGGGGAGCGAACAGG
rnacentral:rRNA from 1 species